rnacentral:misc_RNA from 1 species
AAUUACAAGAAAGAUUUCCUUUCAAACAUAACUUUGCAACUCAGUCAGCGACUUGAUUUGCUUUCCUACUAAUAUUUGACAAAGAGAUCUGUAAGAAUAAAGGAAAAAAAAGCUUUAAUGGCCUGAACAGUUGCCUUUACAUACCACCUUAUGUCUUCCAAGGGCGUAGUUAAAGUAGAGAACAAGACCUUGGAAUCUGUUUCAAACACGAUUGUUGUAACUCCCAUGUCGCUGGCCAAAGAGAUUGCUUCUAGCAUUGCUCUAGCUUCUGCUACUAAAGGAGAAUUACACUGAAAUUUCUUUGCUACUCCAU